GAGUGCUGAGGAAGGGGAUACACUGCUUGAGGUCAUGCGAGAAGGACUUAAUGGAGGGGAAACUGAGAUCCACAGACAGGAAGGAACCUGUUCCAAGUUCCAUCCGAAAUAAGCUUCUGGGUGAACUAGAACCUGUCUCCGAAUUUCCAGUGAGAAGAUUCCUCUGUCAUGCUUCCCUUUUGGUCAGUGCAACAUCCAACACAAACAAUAGGGUUGUUAAACGGGAAAAACUGUCAGGGCUCCUCAAUUCCUUCUCCACUGGACCUCCAAAGCAAUCAGGAGAAUAUUUUGGGAAGUCAUCAUACCCCUGCUGUCUGACAGAGUUGCAGUCUGGGUUGAUGAAAGCUGCAGAGCAGCCUUCAGAAAAUAUGAGGCACCUACUGAACCCCCUCUGUGUGACUUCUCCCUCAAAUUUCCCUUACUAAUGGAAUUGUUAUGAUUAUUGUUCUCUUCCCAAUACCAGAUAAAUUAGAUAAGAGAAAAUACUUAUGGGGUUAAUACUUUAACCCCCUUAGAAUAGUACCCAAAAAGAUUACAUUCACAGAAUUAAAACCCAAAGAUCACUACCCAUUACCUCUCCUUUCUUUCUCUCAGCAGAGGUACAUUCAGAGGUCCCAUACCCAUUGCAGGCCAAACAUCAAUCAUUCCUUUGAAACACAAGUUACAGACACACUUUACUGGUUUGUUAUGUUUACCAUAACCAGGCAACUUUUCCAGGUGCUUGAAUCAAACACAAGAAAAAUUCAGCUUGGAAAUUGAGGAAAAUUCCAAUUCUGAUCUGCUUUAAGUUACCCUCUAACCCUGUACCUAACUAUGAAAUGUUUUGUAACCCAUCUUCUAAGUAAUUGUGAUUAAUUGUGAAAGCUGAUCAAAAGCAACAAUGAUUCUCCUAGCUGGUCAUCCCAUAGGUCAGGGGGAACUAACUUCCAGAUCACCCUGUUUAUGUCAUUCAUCUAUUUCUGUUAUAGCAACAAUGUUUCCUUGACUAUCUCCUUAGCCUUUGCAUCUGUUGUAUGGAAACAUAUAUGUUGAGAAAUGAUUGUGUGCCAUAAAAGUAGGUACUCACUGAAAGUAUAAAAUAAAUGCAAACCCUGUGCAUGGCA
rnacentral:lncRNA from 1 species